AUUGAACGCUGGCGGCAUGGCUAAAACAUGCAAGUCGAGCGCGAAAGUGGAGCAAUCCAUGAGUAGAGCGGCGAAAGGGUGAGUAAUACGUUCCUACGUACCUCGAGGUCGGGGAUAGCCAGGGGAAACUCUGGGUAAUACCCGAUGUGAUCGAGAGAUCAAAGGCUUGCCGCCUUGAGAGCGGGGAACGUCCUAUCAGGUAGUUGGUGAGGUAACGGCUCACCAAGCCUUUGACGGGUAGCGGGUGUGAGAGCAUGGCCCGCCACAUCGAAACUGAGACACUGUUCGGACUCCUACGGGAGGCUGCAGUAACGAAUCUUCCGCAAUGCGCGAAAGCGUGACGGAGCAAUGCCGCGUGCAGGAUGAAGCCCCUCGGGGUGUAAACUGCUGUCAGGGAUUAGGAACACAAUGACCAGUCCCAAAGGAAGAGACGACUAACUCUGUGCCAGCAGUCGCGGUAAUACAGAGGUCUCGAGCGUUAGUCGGAAUCACUGGGCUUAAAGCGUGCGUANGCGGAUGUGCAGGCGUCGUGUGAAAGCCCUCGGCUCAACCGGGGAAUUGCACGGCGAACCGCACGUCUCGAGACAAGUAGGGGCGGUCGGAACGAUAGGUGGAGUGGUGAAAUGCGUUGAUAUCUAUCGGAACGCCAAAGGUGAAGACAGACCGCUGGGCUUGUUCUGACGCU
rnacentral:rRNA from 1 species